AUUAGUCAAACUGCGCAGUCUUUCAAGUCAGUGGGCGUCCCAAGGCUCAGGAGCAUGGAUAUAUGCAUAGAUUUUGAGUGCUUCAAGCAUCACAUCUGCCAGAUGCAGAUGCUUCCUGAUCCAGGCCAGGGCUCUUAAAGGAAUCAUUUGGACAAGGAACAACAAUGCAGGUGUACCAUUUGCACCCAUAAGAAUGAUAUAUGGUAAAUGGACUUACAUUUGCAAAGCGCUUUUCUAUGCAGUGUUUCUUUUUUUUUAAAAAGGGAAAGCUGAGCAGCUCAACAGCUGCCAAGUCAUGCAGACUUACCAUGCUCUUGCGAGCCUCAGCAAAGAGCCUCUUCUCCUCUUCCAGUCUCCUCUUGGCUUCUUCCUCAGCCUUCUUC